rnacentral:rRNA from 1 species
AGUAAUGCUUGGGAGUCUAGCUUAUGGAGGGGGAUAACUACGGGAAACUGUAGCUAAUACCGCGUAGAAUCGAGAGAUGAAAGUGUGGGACCUUCGGGCCACAUGCCAUAGGAUGAGCCCAAGUGGGAUUAGGUAGUUGGUGAGGUAAAGGCUCACCAAGCCGACGAUCUCUAGCUGGUCUGAGAGGAUGACCAGCCACACUGGGACUGAGACACGGCCCAG